rnacentral:rRNA from 1 species
UACGUAGGGUGCUAGCGUUGUUCGGAAGUAUUGGGCGUAAAGCGGGUGUAGGUGGUUUGUUAAGUCAGAUGUGAAAUCCCUUGGCUCAACCAAGGAAGUGCAUCUGAAACUAUCAAGCUAGAGGACGGCAGAGGGAGGUGGAAUUCCUAGUGUAGAGGUGAAAUUCGUAGAUAUUAGGAGGAAUACCGGUGGCGAAGGCGGCCUCCUGGACCGUUCCUGACACUGAGAUCCGAAAGCGUGGGUAGCAAACAGG